AGAGUUUGAUUCCCUGGCUCAGAUUGAACGCUGGCGGCAGGCCUAACACAUGCAAGUCGAGCGGAUGAAAGGAGCUUGCUCCUGGAUUCAGCGGCGGACGGGUGAGUAAUGCCUAGGAAUCUGCCUGGUAGUGGGGGACAACGUUUCGAAAGGAACGCUAAUACCGCAUACGUCCUACGGGAGAAAGCAGGGGACCUUCGGGCCUUGCGCUAUCAGAUGAGCCUAGGUCGGAUUAGCUAGUUGGUGAGGUAAUGGCUCACCAAGGCGACGAUCCGUAACUGGUCUGAGAGGAUGAUCAGUCACACUGGAACUGAGACACGGUCCAGACUCCUACGGGAGGCAGCAGUGGGGAAUAUUGGACAAUGGGCGAAAGCCUGAUCCAGCCAUGCCGCGUGUGUGAAGAAGGUCUUCGGAUUGUAAAGCACUUUAAGUUGGGAGGAAGGGUUGUAGAUUAAUACUCUGCAAUUUUGACGUUACCGACAGAAUAAGCACCGGCUAACUCUGUGCCAGCAGCCGCGGUAAUACAGAGGGUGCAAGCGUUAAUCGGAAUUACUGGGCGUAAAGCGCGCGUAGGUGGUUUGUUAAGUUGGAUGUGAAAUCCCCGGGCUCAACCUGGGAACUGCAUCCAAAACUGGCAAGCUAGAGUAUGGUAGAGGGUGGUGGAAUUUCCUGUGUAGCGGUGAAAUGCGUAGAUAUAGGAAGGAACACCAGUGGCGAAGGCGACCACCUGGAC
rnacentral:rRNA from 1 species